GACGAACGCUGGCGGCGUGCUUAACACAUGCAAGUCGAACGGAAAGGCCCUGCUUGCAGGGUACUCGAGUGGCGAACGGGUGAGUAACACGUGGGUGAUCUGCCCUGCACUUCGGGAUAAGCUUGGGAAACUGGGUCUAAUACCGGAUAGGAGCCAUCUUUAGUGUGGUGGUUGGAAAGUUUUUUCGGUGUAGGAUGAGCUCGCGGCCUAUCAGCUUGUUGGUGGGGUAAUGGCCUACCAAGGCGGCGACGGGUAGCCGGCCUGAGAGGGUGUACGGCCACAUUGGGACUGAGAUACGGCCCAGACUCCUACGGGAGGCAGCAGUGGGGAAUAUCGCACAAUGGGCGCAAGCCUGAUGCAGCGACGCCGCGUGGGGGAUGAAGGCCUUCGGGUUGUAAACUCCUUUCGCUAGGGACGAAGCUUUUUUGUGACGGUACCUAGAUAAGAAGCACCGGCUAACUACGUG
rnacentral:rRNA from 1 species